CACUCCUGUUUCUGCCUCGUGUCCUUUUAAACGCUUCCACGGGACAUGGGUUCUAAUUAUGGAGAAGAUCAAGCUUUGAAAUGGCCUGUUCACACAUUUUGAUACAACCGUGAACAGUGUUCCGUUUCGAAGAUCGUGUGGGUUUCUAUCGUUUCGUACUCAUUGUGUUUUCAAAAAAAAAAUCUUUGAGUUGUUUAGAUGCCACUAUAUUU
rnacentral:snoRNA from 1 species